UUAUUUAUGUUUUUUUUUUUUAAUUACUAGAAUAAAACUUCCUCCAGGGAGUAAGCCUGUGUUGUUCAUCUUGAUAUCUUCAGCACCUAAACUCAAGCUCGGCACAUUUCUGAUUACAGGUGGAAGUUUUGUGAAAUUAGGAAGUCCGGGAGCACUGCGGUAGAGGAUCUCUGACCCUGGAGGAUGGCACUGCAUAAACUGGAGGUUCCUAGACAUCUGGGACAACUCUCACUUGGAAAAGCCUUGGAAACGCCCAGGAGACGAACAGCAGACAGAUGUGGCCAAGUGAUAUUUGGAGGCAGAG